rnacentral:rRNA from 1 species
GUCUACGGCCAUGCCACCCUGAACAAGUCUGAUCCCGUCUGAUCUCAGAAGCUAAGCAGGGUCGAGCCUGGUUAGUACUUGGAUGGGAGACCACCUAGGAAGACCAGGUGUUGUAGGCA